rnacentral:tRNA from 1 species
GGGGGUAUAGCCCAGUGGUAGAGCACAUGCUAGGCAUGCACAAGGUCCUGGGUUCAAUCACCAGUGCCUCUG